AACGAACGCUGGCGGCAUGCCUAACACAUGCAAGUCGAACGAGACCUUCGGGUCUAGUGGCGCACGGGUGCGUAACGCGUGGGAACCUGCCCUUAGGUUCGGAAUAACUCCCCGAAAGGGGUGCUAAUACCGGAUAAUGUCUUCGGACCAAAGAUUUAUCGCCUUUGGAUGGGCCCGCGUUGGAUUAGCUAGUUGGUAGGGUAAAAGCCUACCAAGGCGACGAUCCAUAGAUGGGCUGAGAGGAUGAUCAGCCACACUGGGACGGAGACACGGCCCAGACUCCUACGGGAGGCAGCAGUGGGGAAUAUUGGAAAAUGGGCGAAAGCCUGAUCCAGCAAGGCCGGGUGAGUGAUGAAGGCCUUAGGGUUGUAAAGCGCUUUUACCCGGGAUGAUAAUGACAGUACCGGGAGAAUAAGCGCCGGCUAACUCCGUG
rnacentral:rRNA from 1 species